CUAUAAUAAGCUUUUAUUAUUAUUACAGAACAGAUUAUUAGCUUACAUGCCCAUUUUAAAUGAAAAAAGAUCUGCAGCAAUUGCAAAAUAGAGAUGGAUAGCAAUAAUAACAAGCAGUUUACAUGCAUUCGACCGAACUUGCAAAAACUGGCAGAUAAUAUAUCAAAUUUAUUACCUAAAAACUCAGCCACAGUUUAUGAAAAGCGGUAUGAAUUUUUUUUUUUUGCGCAGAAACAACCAUGCAAAAUAUAUGGAGAACACCUCAUUGCAUACGAGUAUUUCGCUGAAAAAGCAAAUUCUGUGAAAUCUUUAACACUUUGGGCUGCAUAGUCGUAGUUAAAGUCAACUCUGUUAAUAAAAAACAGCAUAGAUAUAUCUAAGUACACCAAGUUUUCAAGCAAAAAAUAUAGGUUACAUUGCCAAGAAAUCAAAUAUAUUUACAAGAGAAGACUUACCAAAAUUUUUAACAGAAGCCCGUGAUUAAAUGUACAUGAUGUUAAAGGUUUAUUUUUUAUUAGAAGUUGUAGGAGCAUGUGGAAUGGAUAAAUUGAAAAAUAAUGACGGCAUUCAAGACAAAAACGAUACGCUAAUAAUUAAAAUUCCAACGUCUAAAACUGGCAAAGCACGAGAAUUUACAAAUAUGUGUAAAAAUAUUUAUCCAAUUGAAAUAUAGUAAAAAUACCUAAUUUUAAGACCGCACCAUACACCAGACAAAUCAUUAUUUAUACAUUACAUUUGGAUAGUGAAUGCAGCAGCAGCUGCAUUGUACAAAUAUACCUGCAAACACACUGUAACAAAUUAUGCAGACACCUCUUUUGACUAAAAGAUAUAUAUUUAACUUUAUCCAUACGUUGUCAACUUUGUUAAUAAUUGCAAUCUCUAACUUCAUAAGAAAUAUGAAUAAUCUACUUUGGUGUUUUAUAGUAGUAUUAAAUGUUCAUAGAAUAUAAUUGCACUUACUACGAAGUAAGCUUUCCUAGUUUUAAGUUGUUUUCUUUUCUCUUUGAUUAUCUUAAUUUCUUCAGCCUCUAUGUGGCUGUUUUAAUUCCAAAAAAUUGUUUCUGAAUAAACUGAUUCAUACCACUUUUUCUUUCUUUUACUCGAAAACAGUUUAAACUAUAACUCCAAAUAUUUACCUACUUUACAACGUGUCAAGCAUUCGGUUGUUGUAAAUGAUGCAACCAUAAAUACAAAUUUGAACACUGAUAUGACAGGUUUGAGGCUAGGAUGUGGUUUUCAUAUACUCCCAUUACUUGUUGCCUAAAUCUGGCGCGAGGCCAAAAGUUAUUAUUGACGUAUAUAUAUAUAUAUA